rnacentral:rRNA from 1 species
GACGAACGCUGGCGGCGUGCUUAACACAUGCAAGUCGAACGGAAAGGCCCUGCUUUUGUGGGGUGCUCGAGUGGCGAACGGGUGAGUAACACGUGAGUAACCUGCCCUUGACUUUGGGAUAACUUCAGGAAACUGGGGCUAAUACCGGAUAGGAGCUCCUGCUGCAUGGUGGGGGUUGGAAAGUUUCGGCGGUUGGGGAUGGACUCGCGGCUUAUCAGCUUGUUGGUGGGGUAGUGGCUUACCAAGGCUUUGACGGGUAGCCGGCCUGGGAGGGUGACCGGCCACAUUGGGACUGAGAGACGGACCAGACUCCUACGGGAGGCAGCAGUGGGGAAUAUUGCACAAUGGGCGGAGGCCUGAUGCAGCAACGCCGCGUGCGUGAUGACGGCCUUCGGGUUGUAAACCGCUUUCGCCUGUGACGAAGCGUGAGUGACGGUAAUGGGUAAAGAAGCACCGGCUAACUACGUG